rnacentral:lncRNA from 1 species
AACAAUUUUUCUUUUGUCCAGUUUUUUCUUUGGUGUUGUACUUUUAUCAGACUAUAUUUUCUACUUAAACCCGAGUUCAAAAAAGUAGAAAAAAUGAGAUCAAAGAAAAUUCCAAAAUGUGACAAAUGCUUGAGUUUCUUGCAAAAUUUCAGCCAAAAAUAACAUUAUUAGAGGAGCUCUCACGAAAAAACACAAAAUCACUGCUCGCGUCCGGCGGCGCAGCCUCUAGAUUCGGCUACCCCUAUUCUCGCUGUUGCAUUUGGCACAUCUUAGUUCUUUACGAAGUUGCCUCUGUUCCUUUCUGAUGUCUCUUUGUCUUCCUCUUCCCCUUUGUGCAAUCUAUAUCUUGAUGUCUACUCAUCUUGCAGGUCUCGUUCACUAGGCUGCUCGUGUCAUUCCUACGGUCAGCUGCUACGCCCGCCUCAAGUCGCAGCAAGACGCCAUUGGACAUGAUUGUAACAC